rnacentral:tRNA from 1 species
CCUUCGAUAGCUCAGUUGGUAGAGCGGAGGACUGUAGGUGGGAUGAUGGCAAUCUUUAGGUCGCUGGUUCGACUCCGGCUCGAAGGA